rnacentral:rRNA from 1 species
AUACGUAGGGUGCGAGCGUUGUCCGGAAUUACUGGGCGUAAAGAGCUCGUAGGUGGUUUGUCGCGUCGUCUGUGAAAUUCCGGGGCUUAACUCCGGGCGUGCAGGCGAUACGGGCAUAACUUGAGUACUGUAGGGGAGACUGGAAUUCCUGGUAUAGCGGUGAAAUGCGCAGAUAUCAGGAGGAACACCGGUGGCGAAGGCGGGUCUCUGGGCAGUAACUGACGCUGAGGAGCGAAAGCAUGCGUAGCGAACAGGAUUAGAUACCCUGGUAGUCUAUGCCGUAAACGGUGGGCGCUAGGUGUAGGGGUCUUCCACGACUUCUGUGCCGUAGCUAACGCAUUAAGCGCCCCGCCUGGGGAGUACGGCCGCAAGGCUAAAACUCAAAUGAAUUGACGGGG